UAGCCUGUGCAUCGCGUUCUUUGCUGGGAAAUAUAGAAUUAGUGUGGCCCUUAUGGCAACUGCGGUAGUUUGUGAAACUGUAGUGAACUUGUUGAGGAUCAAUGAGUAGUAAAUGGAGGAUGGGUCCCCAGCUUGUAGAAAGCUGGACUCUCUAGGCUACCUCGGUAGCUGAAUAUCAGAUCGAAAUAACAGUCAUCGAACGGUUUCGAGAAUUAUGGUUGGGAUGGAAUAAUGGCAUCUUCAAGGAGCCUCUUUGAAACGUUAAAGUGGCUGUAAUGAAUUUCUUUUGGUUGCAAGACUUCUUUAGUUACUCAAAUACCCAACGAAUUUUCGCAUAUAUUCAUAACUACUGGUUGUACUCUGUUUAUAUCUAUGUGUAGUAGAAAUAGCGGUAAUAAAAUUGGUGAUUUCAA